rnacentral:rRNA from 1 species
CCUACGGGAGGCAGCAGUGGGGAAUAUUGCGCAAUGGGCGAAAGCCUGACGCAGCGACGCCGCGUGAGGGAUGAAGGUCUUCGGAUCGUAAACCUCUGUCAGCAGGGAAGAACGGUCACUGUGCUAAUCAGCAGUGAAUUGACGGUACCUGCAAAGGAAGCACCGGCUAACCCCGUGCCAGCAGCCGCGGUAAUACGGAGGGUGCGAGCGUUAAUCGGAAUUACUGGGCGUAAAGCGCUCGUAGGCGGUAUGUCAAGUCAAGGGUGAAAUCCCCGCGCUCAACGUGGGAACUGCCUUUGAAACGGGCAAAAUGGAGUGGUGGAGAGGAUAGGGGAAGUCCAGGUGUAGGGGUGAAAUCCGUAGAUAUCUGGAGGAACAACAGUGGCGAAGGCGACUAUCUGGCACAUAACUGACGCUGAGGAGCGAAAGCGUGGGUAGCAAACAGGAUUAGAUACCCCAGUAGUC